rnacentral:rRNA from 1 species
GACGAACGCUGGCGGCGUGCUUAACACAUGCAAGUCGAACGGAAAGGCUCCAGCUUGCUGGAGUACUCGAGUGGCGAACGGGUGAGUAACACGUGGGUAAUCUGCCCUGCACUCUGGGAUAAGCCUGGGAAACUGGGUCUAAUACUGGAUAUGACCUUUCUCCUUAUGGGGUUUGGUGGAAAGUUUUUCGGUGUAGGAUGAGCCCGCGGCCUAUCAGCUUGUUGGUGGGGUGAUGGCCUACCAAGGCGACGCCGGGUAGCCGGCCUGAGAGGGUGAUCGGCCACAUUGGGACUGAGAUACGGCCCAGACUCCUACGGGAGGCAGAAGUGGGGAAUAUUGCACAAUGGGCGGAAGCCUGAUGCAGCGACGCCGCGUGAGGGAUGACGGCCUUCGGGUUGUAAACCUCUUUCAGCAGGGACGAAGCGUAAGUGACGGUACCUGCAGAAGAAGCACCGGCUAACUACGUG